rnacentral:tRNA from 1 species
AGCAGCGUGGCUUAGUGGAAAGAGCAUGGGGCUUGGGAGUCAGAGGCCAUGGGUUCUAAUCCCACCUCUGCCA